rnacentral:rRNA from 1 species
CAAAAAUGGGUGGUAAAUUCCAUCUAAAGCUAGAUAUUGGCGAGAGACCGAUAGCGAACAAAGUACCGUGAGGGAAAGAUGAAAAGCACUUUGGAAAGAGAGUUAAACAGUACGUGAAAUUGCUGAAAAGGGAAACACUUGAAGUCAGUCGCGUCGUUCAGAACUCAGCCUGGCCUUGGCUUGGUGCAUUUUCUGAAUGACGGGCCAGCAUCAAUUUUGACUGUUGGAUAAAGGUCAGAGAAAUGUGGCUCCUUUGGGAGUGUUAUAGUCUCUGAUUGCAUACAAUGGUUGGGAUUGAGGAACUCAGCAUGCCUUUAUGGUCGGGGUUCGCCCACGUUCAUGCUUAGGAUGCUGGCGUAAUGGCUUUAAAUGACCCGUCUUGAAACACGGACCAAGGAGUCUAACAUGCCUGCGAGUAUUUGGGUGGAAAACCCGAGUGCGCAAUGAAAGUGAAAGUUGGGAUCCCUGUCGUGGGGAGCACCGACGCCCGGACCAGACCUUCUGUGACGGAUCCGCGGUAGAGCAUGUAUGUUGGGACCCGAAAGAUGGUGAACUAUGCCUGAAUAGGGUGAAGCCAGAGGAAACURUGGUGGAAAGGUGGUAGCGAUU